AGACAGCCUGUCAGGCUCCUAACACCAAGGUAACUUUGCUGGCUAAGACAGCCUGACCCUCCGGUUUCCCUUUCCCAUCGGAUCUUGACACUGGUCUUGGUGGUCGUUAAGGAGGAAGAAUACCCUGAAGCUGGCCUCACAGCGAUGCAGUCUGCUGUAGAGCAGCAGGCCAGACUCAGACAUAUAUGCCUGGGCUUUGUGAAGUGGGAAAACUUAAGAACUGGUCAGUGUUUCUGAAUACUGGCUUACUUCCAUGGUUUUUUUUUUUUUUUUUUAAGGGCCAUGUAACCUGUGAAGCAGCCAUUAUACAUGAUUUGGUCUACACUUGCUGGAAAAAAUCUACAAGAGGAUCCGGAAGCUAGCCGACAUUUUUGGCUAGUACAUAGCCAGGCAGCCAUUGGAAUCAGAGCUGCAGACAGAUUAAGGCCAGCCUGGCCUACAUUGAGAAACCUCAUUUUGGAAAAGUGGAAUAAUCUGUAAAUUAACAUGCAGUUGGUUCAAUAAAGACUUUUGGAAAGUA
rnacentral:lncRNA from 1 species